GGGUUGUGAGGUUAAGCGACUAAGCGUACACGGUGGAUGCCCUGGCAGUCAGAGGCGAUGAAGGGCGUACUAAUCUGCGAUAAGCGCCGGUAAGGUGAUAUGAACCGUUAUAACCGGCGAUACCCGAAUGGGGAAACCCAGUGUGAUUCGUCACACUAUCAUUAACUGAAUCCAUAGGUUAAUGAGGCGAACCGGGGGAACUGAAACAUCUAAGUACCCCGAGGAAAAGAAAUCAACCGAGAUUCCCCCAGUAGCGGCGAGCGAACGGGGAGGAGCCCAGAGCCUGAAUCAGCAUGUGUGUUAGUGGAAGCGUCUGGAAAGGCGCGCGAUACAGGGUGACAGCCCCGUACACAAAAGCGCAUGUGCUGUGAGCUCGAUGAGUAGGGCGGGACACGUGGUAUCCUGUCUGAAUAUGGGGGGACCAUCCUCCAAGGCUAAAUACUCCUGACUGACCGAUAGUGAACCAGUACCGUGAGGGAAAGGCGAAAAGAACCCCGGCGAGGGGAGUGAAAAAGAACCUGAAACCGUGUACGUACAAGCAGUGGGAGCACCCUUUGGGUGUGACUGCGUACCUUUUGUAUAAUGGGUCAGCGACUUAUAUUCUGUAGCAAGGUUAACCGAAUAGGGGAGCCGGAGGGAAACCGAGUCUUAAUUGGGCGUUAAGUUGCAGGGUAUAGACCCGAAACCCGGUGAUCUAGCCAUGGGCAGGUUGAAGGUUGGGUAACACUAACUGGAGGACCGAACCGACUAAUGUUGAAAAAUUAGCGGAUGACCUGUGGCUGGGGGUGAAAGGCCAAUCAAACCGGGAGAUAGCUGGUUCUCCCCGAAAGCUAUUUAGGUAGCGCCUCGUGAAUUCAUCUCCGGGGGUAGAGCACUGUUUCGGCUAGGGGGCCAUCCCGGCUUACCAACCCGAUGCAAACUGCGAAUACCGGAGAAUGUUAUCACGGGAGACACACGGCGGGUGCUAACGUCCGUCGUGAAGAGGGAAACAACCCAGACCGCCAGCUAAGGUCCCAAAGUCAUGGUUAAGUGGGAAACGAUGUGGGAAGGCCCAGACAGCCAGGAUGUUGGCUUAGAAGCAGCCAUCAUUUAAAGAAAGCGUAAUAGCUCACUGGUCGAGUCGGCCUGCGCGGAAGAUGUAACGGGGCUAAACCAUGCACCGAAGCUGCGGCAGCGACACUGUGUGUUGUUGGGUAGGGGAGCGUUCUGUAAGCCUGUGAAGGUGUGUCGUGAGGCAUGCUGGAGGUAUCAGAAGUGCGAAUGCUGACAUAAGUAACGAUAAAGCGGGUGAAAAGCCCGCUCGCCGGAAGACCAAGGGUUCCUGUCCAACGUUAAUCGGGGCAGGGUGAGUCGACCCCUAAGGCGAGGCCGAAAGGCGUAGUCGAUGGGAAACGGGUUAAUAUUCCCGUACUUGGUGUUACUGCGAAGGGGGGACGGAGAAGGCUAUGUUGGCCGGGCGACGGUUGUCCCGGUUUAAGCGUGUAGGUGUGUGUUCCAGGUAAAUCCGGUUCACUUUAACACUGAGGCGUGACGACGAGGCACUACGGUGCUGAAGCAACAAAUGCCCUGCUUCCAGGAAAAGCCUCUAAGCAUCAGGUAACAUCAAAUCGUACCCCAAACCGACACAGGUGGUCAGGUAGAGAAUACCAAGGCGCUUGAGAGAACUCGGGUGAAGGAACUAGGCAAAAUGGUGCCGUAACUUCGGGAGAAGGCACGCUGACACGUAGGUGAAGUGAUUUACUCAUGGAGCUGAAGUCAGUCGAAGAUACCAGCUGGCUGCAACUGUUUAUUAAAAACACAGCACUGUGCAAACACGAAAGUGGACGUAUACGGUGUGACGCCUGCCCGGUGCCGGAAGGUUAAUUGAUGGGGUCAGCGCAAGCGAAGCUCCUGAUCGAAGCCCCGGUAAACGGCGGCCGUAACUAUAACGGUCCUAAGGUAGCGAAAUUCCUUGUCGGGUAAGUUCCGACCUGCACGAAUGGCGUAAUGAUGGCCAGGCUGUCUCCACCCGAGACUCAGUGAAAUUGAACUCGCUGUGAAGAUGCAGUGUACCCGCGGCAAGACGGAAAGACCCCGUGAACCUUUACUAUAGCUUGACACUGAACAUUGAGCCUUGAUGUGUAGGAUAGGUGGGAGGCUUUGAAGUGUGGACGCCAGUCUGCAUGGAGCCGACCUUGAAAUACCACCCUUUAAUGUUUGAUGUUCUAACGUGGACCCGUUACCCGGGUUGCGGACAGUGUCUGGUGGGUAGUUUGACUGGGGCGGUCUCCUCCUAAAGAGUAACGGAGGAGCACGAAGGUUGGCUAAUCCUGGUCGGACAUCAGGAGGUUAGUGCAAUGGCAUAAGCCAGCUUGACUGCGAGCGUGACGGCGCGAGCAGGUGCGAAAGCAGGUCAUAGUGAUCCGGUGGUUCUGAAUGGAAGGGCCAUCGCUCAACGGAUAAAAGGUACUCCGGGGAUAACAGGCUGAUACCGCCCAAGAGUUCAUAUCGACGGCGGUGUUUGGCACCUCGAUGUCGGCUCAUCACAUCCUGGGGCUGAAGUAGGUCCCAAGGGUAUGGCUGUUCGCCAUUUAAAGUGGUACGCGAGCUGGGUUUAGAACGUCGUGAGACAGUUCGGUCCCUAUCUGCCGUGGGCGCUGGAGAACUGAGGGGGGCUGCUCCUAGUACGAGAGGACCGGAGUGGACGCAUCACUGGUGUUCGGGUUGUCAUGCCAAUGGCACUGCCCGGUAGCUAAAUGCGGAAGAGAUAAGUGCUGAAAGCAUCUAAGCACGAAACUUGCCCCGAGAUGAGUUCUCCCUGAGACUUAGAGUCUCCUGAAGGAACGUUGAAGACGACGACGUUGAUAGGCCGGGUGUGUAAGCGCAGCGAUGCGUUGAGCUAACCGGUACUAAUGAACCGUGAGGCUUAACCUUACAACGCCGAAG
rnacentral:rRNA from 1 species